GUCCCUGUAGUGCAAUGGAUAGCACGUUCGACUUCUAAUUCAAAGGGUCGUGAGUUCGAAUCUUACCUGGGAUG